rnacentral:rRNA from 1 species
UACGGGGGGGGGCAAGCGUUGUUCGGAAUUACUGGGCGUAAAGGGCUCGUAGGCGGCCCUCUCAGUCGGAUGUGAAAUCCCCAGGCUUAACCUGGGAACGGCAUCCGAUACUGGAGGGCUUGAAUUCGGGAGAGGGAUGCAGAAUUCCAGGUGUAGCGGUGAAAUGCGUAGAUAUCUGGAGGAAUACCGGUGGCGAAGGCGGCAUCCUGGACCGAGAUUGACGCUGAGGAGCGAAAGCUAGGGGAGCAAACGGG